CAUUCCCUUUUCCCUUAAAUUAUUUACUUUCCUUAAAUAGCUUGUUAGUUAAUCAUGCUAUCUUGAAAAGAAAUUAAAAAUAUUAAAAAUAGUAAGCCCCAUGUGAGUAUGCUCGUGGCAUAAAACCCAUAAGUACAUUCACUGUGGUGGCGUAAAAAUAAAAUAAAUAUAUUCCUGUCCUGUAAAAAUGAAAAUAUAAAAAUAAGAUUGUGAUCCCACUAAAGAGAAUAACAUUUAUUGAGGAGGCUCAACAUGAUAAAGGCUAGAUAUUUAUGCUAACACUUAACUAGUUCCACAAAACUUUGUUGUCUAUUUGAGCUCCAUAGAAUUCAAGGAUCAAGAAAACUAGCAGACGGAGGACAUUCUAAUCGUUGUUAGGGUGCUGCCGACAUUCAAAUACACCUCCACCACCUGCUAGCUACAUCAGAAGAAAUUACGUCAAAAUCCAGCUUGGGGGAGAGCACCCCCAUUUUUCCAGCUAAGUGUUUCUACUCGCGUUUAUACUUUACUCAAAUAAUAAAAAGAUGCAUAAUCAUAAAAACCCAAAUGAAUAUUUUGGUGCUUAUAUAUAUAUAUAUAUAUAUAUAUAUAUAUAUAUAUAUAUAUAUAUAUAUAUAUAUAUAUAUAUAUAUAUCUUUGCUUAGUUUGCUAAAUAAAUAAAUAAAUGAAGUUUGCUAUGAACACUCAUGAUAAGCUCUCUCAUAGAAAUGAUGAAUAGUUGCUCUGCCAUGACUAGUUCUCAAAAUUGAAAUCUCUCUCAAGUUUAGGCAUGACUAUUAUGAAUUAAGAUUUGCUCUAAACCUGAACUUGUGGGAAGAGUACUUGAUCUAAAGUCUAAGUCGUUAACGGAUACGAUAUGGGAAGGUUGAGCUGCUAUUUAUCUGUUCCUAGAGAUGCUAGAAUUCUAGAGAAUUUUAUCUUUGAAAAUCUUUAAAAUGUUGCAUGAUGAGUUCCUGUAUGAUGAGAGUUUAAAAUCCUACCACAGCCAUAUAUACAUGCUUAUUAGACUAUGAACCAUACAUUUACUUUUACUGCUUAAGACCCUUAGGAGCUUGUCAUGCGGUUAAAAUCAAGAUUCACUUGCGCAUUCACUCAUACAUGCUGCUUCAACUCCGAAAGUACGCAUCCACAUACAUCUACUCAUUUCCAUCUCUAGAUUCACCCAAAAUUAUUCUACUCCUAUCUAGGACAGAAUAGCCAAAAACCUUAUCCUAUCCCUGUUAUUCCCCGAGAAAUAAAUGCUCGAUAUAUUUUGGUUAGUACCACUUACUACAUUAUUCCACGAGGGUGAGUGCUCUGAAAAAAGUGAAUACGAGGAAAUAAAAAGGGGCAAGUGCCCGGAACCUCGAAGAAAAGAAAAAGUGAGACGAGAGGUAAAAAUGGACAAGUGUCCGACAGUAGAAUUAGGGGUACAAGAUACCCACCUGAGAGAAAAAAAAGAAAAUAUAGAGCAUCUCAUUCCCCUCAAAAAACUUCAAAAUGCAAGAAAGGUAUGUGUCCCCUCAAAAGAGCAAACGUAGAAUUAGACUUUCACCAUUGUUUUCACCAUUAUCACCAUCAUCACCAUACACCAUUCAUUCGCCACACAUGCACAUAUUGAUUUGACUUAUUGACUUGUUCUUCUAGAUCCAUGGUUUGACUAUGCAAUAAAUGUCUUGUAAGUAUGUAUUAGCUGUCUCCCACCUAUGAGCUCCAGAUAUCAAAACCUUAUUAGAGUAGGGUGAGAGAGAAGGCAAUGUCACUAUGCCUCAUACCACAAAUACUACAUACUUUGAGAGAAGGCAUAUACCAUCACUGCCUUGGUAAGGAUCCAGAAAUACCACAAGAGAG
rnacentral:lncRNA from 1 species